UCUGUCAAAGUCAAAUUAAAAGGUUUACAUUACAGUAUGUCAAAUCGUUAAAAUAAGCAAGAAAUAAAUUCAAAAUAAUACGAAAAUAUCGUAUUGAUUUAAUUUAAUGAAUUUGUGAUUUAUGAUUUUGCGAUAACAUUAACAAUACUGAUAUUAAAUUAAUCUUUACAUUGUGUUAAUUAUAACUCCAAAGGUAACCAUAAAUCUAACAAUGCUCAAAGGAGUGGUAAGUUUGAAAUUAUAAUAUUUGGCUCUGGUGUAUACACUGGAGUAUAUAUAGCUCAAAAUUAUCAGUUUCCAGGACCUAGACGAAAACCCUAAGUCAUAAAAAUCUCACGGACAAUAAUCAUGAAGAGAAAAUUCUGUUUUAAAAGGACAUUACAGCAGGUCUGAUUCAAUAUGCAUGUAAGAAAAAAAUUGAACAAUGUGACAAGGCCAUAGAAAAAAAGAAAUGAUAGACAAAGUGGAGGAUCCGAAGGUAUUAUUCGAAAAAGCACAAGCUUUUAUCAAAGACAAAAUGGGUGAUUGCAAAAAAGGAGGAAAGGACUAAAUUUAAUAAUUGUAAUAUCUGUCUGUAAAUACCAUUUAUUAGCUCUAUACAAUGAUAAUUUAAAUAAAUACAUGAAAAAAUAUUGUUUAUUAUUACUUGGUUCACAGUAAA